AGGAGCUGGAAGUAAUUGCUUAGAAAGUAGUGUUAAACAAAGGGUUGAAACCACAGAAUUGCUGAAGAGGGAACAUUAAAAAUGUCAGCAUGGAUGAAAGACAUUCACCAGUGCUUACUGUCGAGAAGCUACUGGCCUGCAGAUGUCUUAAAGGGUACUUGGCUAAUGGGAUCAACAUUACCGUUUUUGAUAUAAAUUAUAUUUCGGAAGCAAACAACACAACAAAAAAGCAUAGAAAUGGAGCAUCAAGCAGACUGUAAAAUAACCUAUUGCAAAUCUUCAGCUUGUGAAAACAAGACAAUGCGCCAUACUUUAAAUAAGCACAAGAUUCAAAGCACCCAGGAAGGACCUAAAGAGACAAAGUUUAGAGA